AUUGAACGCUGGCGGCAGGCCUAACACAUGCAAGUCGAGCGGGUGAAGGUAUUUUGCUUCUGGAUUCAGCGGCGGACGGGUGAGUAAUUCCUAGUAAUCUGCCUGGUAGUGGGGGAUAACGUCCGGAAACGGGCGCUAAUACCGCAUACGUCCUGGGGGUGAGAGAGGGGGAUCUUCGGACCUCACGCUACCAGAUGAGGCGAGGUCGGAUUAGCUAGUCUGUGGGGUAAAGGCCUACCAAGGGGACGAUCCGUAACUGGUCUAAGAGGAUGAUCAGCCACACUGGAACUGAGAGACGGUCCAGACUCCUACGGGCAGCAGCCGUGGGGACUAUUGGACGAUAGGCGAAAGCCUGAUCCAGCAAUGCCGCGUGUGUGAAGAAGGUCUUCGGAUUGUAAAGCAAUUUACGUUGGGAGGAAGGGCAGUAAGUUAAUGCCUUGAUGUUUUGACGUUACCAACAGAAUAAGCACCGGCUAACUCCGUG
rnacentral:rRNA from 1 species